CAACCCCCCGCCCCCCAAAAUGAACGAAACUUAAACCUAACCCAGUACCCCCCAUUCGGCCAUUCCCCCAAGCCCCACUCCCAAACGAACCCUAGCCCCUCUCUCCCUACUCCCUAGGUCUCACAGCCUCGCUCUCUGUAACUCCCAUCGCUGGUGAGAGAGACCUCCUCCCACCACCUUGCAGCCACCGCCACCUUCCUCCCAGCGCAGCCCUUCCACUGCUCCCACCCAGGACCACCUCACGGACAGAGCAGCCCAGCACUGCAGCACACAGCCAGCGCCCAGCAGGUCGGCACCACCCUUGCAAGUCGCGCCCACCGCCACCCUUAGUCCCUCGCAACUCGCAAAUCGCACCCAGCAGGCCAGGACCACCCACUCACCCAGGACCACCCAGUGGACACAGAGCAUCGUAUCAAGUCAGAUAUGGAGCCCGAGCCACCGAGUCAGGUAUAAAGGUGGACCAGCAUUACCGAGGAAGUUGAUCUCGCAGGGUGCUACACAGAAGCAAUAUAGUGUUGAGUUCAUCCUAAAAGUUGAAAUCCUAUGUGGUCUCUUUCAAGAUGGACAACAACCCAACUACCGGCAGUGUAAACACCACCACAACCACCAAGAAGCAGCGUUUAGCAAAAUUUUCCCUUCCUUUUAAUUGCAAAAAGUAGGUCUAUUGCAUCAUCUUUUCACAAGUCACCAUAGAAUUUAGCAAGGUUUCUACAAUUUGUCUCCCAUUUUCUUUAAUUGUCGUAUUUGGAUUUCUUUUGUCGUUAAAUUUCAUUGGAUCAAGACAUUGUUAGCUAUUGUGUAUUUUUGUUUGCGAUUUCAAUGUUAUGACUUUGUGAAA